GCUGGGCAUGGUGGCGCAUGCCUGUAAUCCUAGCUACUCAGGAGGCUGAGGCAGGAGAAUCACUUGAACCCAGGAAGCAGAGGUUGCAGUGAGCCAAGAUCAUGCCACUGCACUCCAGCCUGGGUGACAGAGUGAGACUUUGUCUCAA
ensembl:misc_RNA Metazoa_SRP Metazoan signal recognition particle RNA